GGAUGCUCCAGCUGCAAAAGGGCUGCAGUUUCUGUGCCCAGAGCCAGGCCAGGUGAUGCAGGUACUUAAUUAGGAGGGUUGCUUAACCCAAAGGCACCUCACGGCCAGAUCAGAGGGAGGUGAAACUGGGAGGGGCUGCUGGCUCCCUAGAGCAUUGCAAAACGAGCUAGGGAGAAGAAAGCAGGCAAAGGACGCUGUGGAGUGAGAGAUCCAGCCAGGAGGGUGGGAAAUGUGAUUUGCAUUUGGAAAGCUAGCAUAAAGGCUGUCGGGGGAACACAGAGCCCUGACCCCUGGCACAGGCCAGCACAAGCGCCCUCCAAGGAAAAAGAUGGGAAAACCUGGACCCUGACAUUGCCCUUGGGUGGCUUCCAGCACUGGUCAGAGCAACACUGCCAGAGAAAUAAAUCAGUGCUAGUGGGUCUUUCUUUAGCUGUCUGCAACUUCACUCCCCCAAAAAACAUCUCAAGCUCUGCCCUUUGAGAGGAGGGUGCCUCAGGACCUCCAUCGGCACCAGCUCAGCUCUUUCCUUCUGCUCGUCACGAGGAGACCUGAGCCAGAACAAGGAGAAGACACAUGGCGGGGCCGCUGCCUCAGUGCUCAGCUGUUGAUCAACAUCUGUGCUGCUGUAAAUAUCUGGGGGAUGUUACUUUGACCUUUGGGAUGGCUGGUGCCUACACUAUCGCACCACAAGACACAAGCAUGAGUAAAGGCUUGUAUCUAAGGAAACCCCCUUGUAUCUCUGUUCUCCUUUAUUUCUGGGGUGUUCAGCAGGAUGUCCUGAGGAUGACAAGUAAUAAUAGGGAUUGCCCUUAUGGGGAUCUUCAGAUGAGAGACAGGGACAAAUGAACCUAAGUGAGUAACAGCCAUGAGACCAGAGGGGGAACUAGACCGCAGUGUGAGGGCUCUUGGGCAUAGUUUGAAGGGCGCUUGUUGCAGCGGCUGUGCUGGAUUCAGAGGGAAAGCAGACUUCUGUCCCUUCUGCUUGGCUGGGCAGGCUGUCAUCCCUUCCACCUCUGCCCCCUGCAUUUCACUAAGUUGCUAAACCAGGGUAGAAAUUCCCAGAGACAAGAGGCUUCCACAGAAAGCAGUACUCCAAAGUUAAAACUGUCCCUCUGUGCUUGCUGGUUUCUCUCCAGAAGAAAAUUAAUGUGGCAGAGAGCUCAGGAGCAUGUUACCUGCUCCUGUUCCAGCACUGUCACUGGUGCAGAAGAUUGCUAGCAAGUUCAUGCACGUUCAGUGCAGAGGGUAUGCUGGAGGCUGCUCGCUUCUGGUGGUGGACUUGUCAAAUCACCUUUAUGCUAGUGCUGAGGACGUGCCAUGGCCUCAUUGAACAGCAGCAUUUUUUCUUUGUGCACCCCUGGGGAAACUGCCUCGAAAGGCAGUCAGAAAGUGAGCUACAGCAGGGUGGGAGCUGCAGAACAGCCUCCUCUCCAAAGCAGGAGCAGACCUAGGCCCAGGAGCCACCCCGGGGCUCCAUGCCACAACACGUGUGGGUGCCUGCAGUUCAUUAUGCUGGGGCUGAAGAGCAGGCAGACGACAGGUAGUUUGGUCUCUAGCCCUUACUGAUUUCAUGCCUCUGUGGUAUAAGUGAAACCUGUUCUUGA